rnacentral:miRNA from 1 species
GGUUCUUACCGAUUGAACUUUGCCAUUUGUACCUUGAUUUUUGACACGUUAUUUGACACUUGCUCUGUUUUCAAAUGUCAAAUGGAUGGAAAAACUAUUUGAAAAUUCUACUAUCCAAUAGGGUAACUUUGUCACGUGACAUUACCCUGCUGUACAAUUUAAAUUUCAAAUAAUUUUCCCAUCCAUUUGACACUUGACAACAAUGCAAGUGUUAAACAAUGGGUCCUAAAUCUGUGUACAAAUAGCAAAGCUUAAUCGAUAAGAACC